UACGUAGGGUGCAAGCGUUGUCCGGAAUUAUUGGGCGUAAAGAGCUCGUAGGCGGUUUGUUGCGUCGGCUGUGAAAUCCCGAGGCUCAACCUCGGGUCUGCAGUCGAUACGGGCGGACUGGAGUUCGGCAGGGAGACUGGAAUUCCUGGUGUAGCGGUGAAAUGCGGCAGAUAUCAGGAGGAACACCGGUGGCGAAGGCGGGUCUCUGGGCCGAGUACUGACGCUGAGGAGCGAAGCGUGGGGAGCGAACAGG
rnacentral:rRNA from 1 species